CGUGGGGGAUAACGUAGGGAAACUUACGCUAAUACCGCAUACGACCUACGGGUGAAAGCAGGGGACCUUCGGGCCUUGCGCGAUUGAAUGAGCCGAUGUCGGAUUAGCUAGUUGGCGGGGUAAAGGCCCACCAAGGCGACGAUCCGUAGCUGGUCUGAGAGGAUGAUCAGCCACACUGGGACUGAGACACGGUCCAGACUCCUACGGGAGGCAGCAGUGGGGAAUAUUGGACAAUGGGCGCAAGCCUGAUCCAGCCAUACCGCGUGGGUGAAGAAGGCCUUCGGGUUGUAAAGCCCUUUUGUUGGGAAAGAAAUCCAGCUGGUUAAUACCCGGUUGGGAUGACGGUACCCAAAGAAUAAGCACCGGCUAACUUCGUGCCAGCAGCCGCGGUAAUACGGAGGGUGCAAGCGUUACUCGGAAUUACUGGGCGUAAAGCGUGCGUAGGUGGUCGUUUAAGUCCGUUGUGAAAGCCCUGGGCUCAACCUGGGAACUGCAGUGGAUACUGGACGACUAGAGUGUGGUAGAGGGUAGCGGAAUUCCUGGGUGUAGCAGUGAAAUGCGUAGAGAUCAGAGGAACAUCCAUGGCGAAGCAGCUACCUGGACCAACACUGACACUGAGCACGAAAGCGUGGGGAGCAAACAGAUAGAUACCCUGGUAGUCACG
rnacentral:rRNA from 1 species